rnacentral:rRNA from 1 species
GACGAACGCUGGCGGCGUGCCUAACACAUGCAAGUCGAACGGAGAUGCCGAGGUAGCUUGCUACAUUGGUAUCUUAGUGGCGGACGGGUGAGUAACACGUGGGCAACCUGCCCCAAAGAGGGGGAUAACACCGAGAAAUCGGUGCUAAUACCGCAUAACAUUAGAGCUUCGCAUGGAGCUUUAAUCAAAGGAGCAAUCCGCUUUGGGAUGGGCCCGCGUCUGAUUAGCUAGUUGGUGAGGUAACGGCUCACCAAGGCGACGAUCAGUAGCCGAUCUGAGAGGAUGACCGGCCACACUGGAACUGAGACACGGUCCAGACUCCUACGGGAGGCAGCAGUGGGGAAUAUUGCACAAUGGGGGAAACCCUGAUGCAGCAACGCCGCGUGGAGGAAGAAGGUCUUCGGAUUGUAAACUCCUGUCUUCUGGGACGAAUAAUGACGGUACCAGAGGAGGAAGCCACGGCUAACUACGUGCCAGCAGCCGCGGU